CUUUUUAGGGCAAAGCACCUGCGGCAUAUGGAAGUUUCCAGGCUAGGGGUCAAAUUGGAGCUGUAACUGUCGGCCUUUACCACAGCCACGGCAACGUGGAGUCUGGGCUGCAUCUACAACCUACACCACAGCUCACAUCAACACUGGCCCCUUAACCCGCUGCGAGGCCAGGGAUAGAACCUGCAUCCUCACGGAUACUCGUGGGGCUCGUUUCUGCUAAGCCACAGUGGGAACGCCUCUUAUGCGUGACUUUUGGCCAAAGGGACCGGCUCUACCAAAAACAGGGACUGAAGCAUACCCAGGUGACUAUCUGGCUCACCUGAUUCUCUUCCCAGUGGGGCUUUGAAACAUGGGGACAAACUUUAGACACAGAGAAUGGAGCCAUUGCCUCUGUCGGGAUGGGAGAAAUUCACAGAUGUCUUGACAGCAGCUACCUCGCGACACUGAGUGGUAGCGGACCCCUGGAAAAACUCUGGGUAAGAAAGACUAUCAAAGGAGCAUCAGGUCCAGAUUGCAAAUUGCUUUAGCAGCUAAAACAGGCAGAAAGAUAGAGCAACUCACGCUAAUCCAGGGGGUUUAUGCUUCGGGCUGGCUGCCUCUGACGCCCACCCUUGACCCAGCCCAUUCAUCAGUAUUUUGAUAAGCAGAUUCCCCUGCAGAGCUUCUUAAUCUGGGUUCCCAGAGGAGUCUUGCAGAGAUUAAUGAGAGCCCUGCCGCUGCCUGCCAGCUCUUGAGGGUGGGGCAGUUAAAUCACAAAAGGGAAGGGACUGGUCGCGGAUGCCCAAACUCUCCCAUCACUGGACCUGACGCCUCUAGGGGUCAACUCAGUAUCUUUUCAACUUAAAUACCUGGAUCUGUUUUUAUUUUUAUUUUUAAUCCACUUUCUCCUUGGUAUCUAGGGAAAUUAAAGCCCUGGCUCACAUCUUCCUUAAGGCCAGCUUUUAGCCAGAGCCAUGACAGCAUCUGGAGCUCAACAAAGAUUAGGGGCAGAGGCAGGCAGGAAUGCCAGGGACAGAGAGGAAAUCCAGUGCUACCAAGGGCACCACCAAUGUGCUGUACCCGCCAUGCAGCCCUCCCACCAAAUACCCUCUGGCUACAGUCCCCUGACAGUGGUGGGAGGGGAAGCUGGGGCUGCAACCCCAAAGCCUGAGCCCUCACAGAAGUGCAGCCCCUAAGACAAAAAAAAAAAAAAAAAAAGGGAGUUCCCAUCGUGGUGCAGUGGUUAACGAAUCCGACUAGGAACCGUGAGGUUGCGGGUUUGGUCCUUGCCCUUGCUCAGUGGGUUAACGAUCCGGCGUUGCCAUGAGCUGUGGUGUAGGUUGCAGACGCGGCUCAGAUCCCGCGCUGCUGUGGCUCUGGCGUAGGCCGGUGGCUACAGCUCCGAUUCCACCCCUAGCCUGGGAACUUCCAUAUGCCACGGGAGUGGCCCAAGAAAUAGCAAAAAAAGACAAAAAAAAAAAAAAGAAGGCUGGUCUCUGCUCUUGGUGUUGCCUAAUAGCUCCUCCAAUUGUUAUUCAUUUAUGGAUUUAUUUUGCUUUUGAUUUUAUUUUGCUUUUACAUAUUUAUUUUUUAGGCUGCCCCUCGGCUUAUGGAGUUCUCAGGCCAGGGAUCAGAUGUGAGUCGAAGCCGGGACGAAGCCGCAGGUGCAGCAAUGCCAGAUCCUCAACCCACAGUGCCAAGCCAGGGGUGGAACCCGCAUCUCAGCAUUCCCAAGAGGCUGCCGAUCCCACUGCACCACAGCGGGAACUCUGCAGGCUGGGUUCCCUGUGAGACGUGAUCUGGGGAAAUUUUCUGGGCUGUCCUCUGGAGAGAUGGGACUUAUUUUGAAGUAAGAUGUGAUGAGGGAACCCUAGAUUUGAGUUCAGUUUGUGAAUUAUUGGGGCGGGGGGGGGUAAAAUCAGGCUUACCGAGCUUGUAGGACCUUGCAUGUGCUGGAAGAAAAAGUCUUACAAAUUCCAAGUGACAGGUAUGGCAAGAAGGAGGAGGACGAGCCGGGACAGCAGCUUCAACUCUGGCUGCUCCCGUGCUGACAUGUGUCCACUGAACGCAGUCUCAGGACUUGGGGGAAAAAGACCGUCACGCGGAGCUCCGAGCUCACAAGCAGGUCUAAAGGGACCGGCAAGUCAACUAACAAAGGCGUCGGGGGUGGGAACCCCCCUGGGUCUUCCCUCGCCCCUCCUGUGACCACGGCUGGCAUCUCAGGCCCGCUGUCCGUGAACAGACAGGGAAAUAGCUAACUACCCAGCUGAGUCCACGUUCAGCCCCAGAGGAAGGUCGACGGCUGACUGUCUAGGAGUCUGCGGUCUCACUGACACCAGCAGCUCUCAGAGUGUGGAGCACAGCUGCCCUCCGUCUAUGGCUGUGGACUGGGGGGGGGGACAAACAUGUGCUGGGAGGGGGGCCGUCCCAGCCCCUCCGGCCAGGCUCCUCAGAGGCUGGCGCAUCACCCAGCCCCCAGGUGGGGGCAUCAUGGUGGAGACCACGGCUGCCCCUGCAUCAGCUGUCCUGGUUCAGCAGACCUUCCUUCUUUAGCCAGACCUGGAAGCCAAAGAGGUCAGGCCAACCUGCAGCUCGGGGUCCAGCCCAGACGGGCGGCUACCUGGCCAGCCUCCUGGCCUCUGUAUGCGGCGCAGCCUGCUCUGGAUGGUAGGCUCCCUGCCCAGGAUUCGCAGUGAACUUGGCUGCUCCCUGCGGGAUUUACUGGGUCUGGACCUGCCUGCGGUAGAAGGUCAAGUGUCAGUUCAACGAGGGAGCCCCUGUCCCCCUUCGUCUUCCUGACUUCCCUUCUCCCCAGCCACCUUUUCUUCUCCACACUGGCCUUCUCUUGGCUCAGUUUCUCUCUGACCUUGACCGACCUCUGGUGUGCUGGGUAUUUUUCCAAGGACCACGUUGGCCCAUCAGACGUGCAAAAGGGCAGGAGCCUGGUCUCUCCUCCAACGAGCCACCCAGCGCCGUGCAGUCCGCAGCACCAAGACACAGAGAGGCCCUGAUGUGCUAAUGGUCCUUCAGAGCUCAGCUGAAGAGCUGGACAAGACUCCAAGAGUCCCGACUCGCCACACACAUCCUGACUCAAACUCAGUCUUUGUCUCAAGGGUGAUGGAUGCCAGGCUACCCGUGACAGGAAGGGCAACCUCUGAGUAUUUCCAACACAACAGGCAAAGCUCUCACCCGUGGAGUUUAUAUUAUGUCAUCAUCCCCCAGGUUCCUCGCAGCCCCCAGGACAGGCGGCCAGGGCGGGUCCUUGCAAUCCUUCGGUCUUUAAAUGGUUAUUGAAGACAUUCCCUCUCAGAAAGGGGCACUGAGCGGAGACUGCAGGGAGACCACUGGUCCGCCUUGGGCGUUCCUGGACCAGAUGCUCACCCAGUGUUCCCAAGCACAGUCUUCCUAAGAGCGGCACGAGGCGGGAUGGUUGGGGCACCCUCGUUGUGGCCCCAGUUGCCCCAAGCCAUCACCUGCCUACCGCCAGUAAAGGGUCAACAGAAAAUAUCUCAGACUGUUCAGGGCCACGUGCCAUCUCUGCUGCAUAUACUCUAUUCCUCGAAGUUUAUUUUUUAAAAACUUUUUGAAAAUGUAAGGACCACUCUUAGCGUGAGGUGCAGAACAAGACAGGCAGCAGGUGGGUUUGGCUCACAGACAGGCCACGGCUUGCAGAGCCCUGGCCAAUCGGAAGAAGCCACGACAUUUUUUAUCAGUUCUCCCCAAGCAGCACCGCCACCCCCGCCCUCCCAGUCAUGACACCUCCAGACCCUCCCACGCACCCAAGGACUGCCCCUGACUCUGCUCCAACGGCUCUCGGCAUCUGUGCUCAGGCCCAGGAGGGCCUCCCUCAGCAAACAUUUCAUGGAGAAAGCACGUCGUACAGAUGCCAACAACGAGCUCCUGUGUCUCUCUCAUGCUUAACCGGGGAUGCUCAAGGCCCAGACGGCCUCAUCCUGCACUGUGAGGGCUCACCUGACCGCACUUGUGUGGCCGUGUCCACACAUCUCCCCACCAUAACAGUGCCACUUAGUUAAUGACUUCACUUGGGUUCUUCUACUCCCCCUCCCGUGUGGGUACAGGGUGGGCAGAGCAAGGGCAAGACAGAUCCCAUCAGCUGCGUCUCGCAGCAUAGCCAGGACCCAUCACUCCCCACCUCCACUGUAGCACCCAGGCCACACCCCUUCUCCCUGGAUGCCCACCGCCACAGCCUCCCACCUGAGCCCCCUGCUUCUGUCUCUGCCCUCCUUCCUCUCCCUUAUGCAAAGCCCCCAGAGGCAUCCCAUCUCAUGCAGAGUAAAAGUCAACACCUCUGGGAGUUCCCAUCGUGGCACAGUGGAAACAAAUCUAACUAGGAA
rnacentral:lncRNA from 1 species